rnacentral:lncRNA from 1 species
AGAAACCACAGAGAAGGCUGCAGUAGACAGCUGUACUUGGUACUCAUGUGCAACCUGUCAGAAGUGCCUCAUGAUGAAAAUGCAACCAUGCAGGGAAACCUUGGCCAAAUGCCACAGCGUCCUGGCUGAAGCAGCAACGCAAUUACGGAAAGAUAAAAAACCCACAACGGCCUGUGCAUCUGAGCAGCUGAGAGAAAGAAGAAGAUCAUGCUUAACACAGAGACCUCACAGCUGGUCAACUUGCAGAGAACAGGAGAGAACUCAAAUCCAAGUGGGAUAUCUCUAUCACUCCUCUAUUACCUAUUCACGGCCCCCUUCUCCCACCCAAGGCUCAGAGAUCACCACCGACGAAGGGACAGAGAGACAACACGCUCCAGGGUAGUGGACAUCUACAGCCAACAGCAGGAUGUGACGUGGUCCUUGCACAAAGGGACUCAGAGUGGCCUGGUAGUGACUGCUUAAGACUGGCAUAAGAGCAAGUCAGCUAGAACCCCAGCAUGGACUGUGGAUAAUUCAUGAAGUCCACUCGUAGCUGAAGAGCUAUUGGCAAUUGCUGGUGUUUGGCAGAGCCAGAGUCAGUUAUCUUCAGGAAUAUGAUGCUAGAGAGGUUGUCCCGAUUCCAGCAGCACUUCCUCCACCCAUGCACACACAUACAGGCAGUACUAAGUGGACCCAG